AUAAUACAUGUGUACAUUUAUACGCAUAUAUAUAAUUUCUCCGUUUGACUUUUAACAUCGAAUAUAAUCGAUUGCAAAUGUCAAAACUGACAUACAUAUGUAUAAAAUUAUAGCUACAUAUUUGUAAUGAUAUACUCGGGAUGAUAAAUGGAUCGAUUUGGUGCGUCAAUGUAACGGAGAAGAUGAUAAGACCUCAUUAACUACCGUAACAAGCACGAUACAGGAUAGCAUUUUAAGCACACAAUCGCAAUCAAUAAAAUCGAUCUAUGAUAAGAGAAGAGAUUUCGAAGGACAUGUACUUCAACGAUCAGGGGGUGGUCGGGUAUUCAGUUAUCGGAAAAAAAAGGCUUCGAUUGGAAACGGAAUUUUUAGUGCUCCGGCUGGAGUCAAUCCUCACCACGUUGCUUCUUCGAUUGUACGACGAAACACAGGCGGUUCAAGAUUGAUAUUCAUAUGGCCACAAAAAGUACGUACAAGGGGAAGACUUUUGAGCAUUUUUGCACCACUUUUGCACGGUUUUUUGAUUGGAUUAUUAUGCAUGGACGCGAUUCAUCUCUGGCCUGGAGAAUUUUUACCGACGUCCCUUCCGACCACUACACCUAUACCAUUGCCACCAGUGAAAUGUAACGUGAUUGAGCCCUCUUGGUUCGACACUACAUGAGAACGAUUGUGAAUGACUUUUUUGAGAACAAAAAAAGGGAGAAGAAAGAAAAAAAAAACAGAUAAAAAAGUAAAAACAAUGACGAAUUUUUGCGUUUCAUUAAUAUCGAGAAAUCUAAUAGUCUCCUGUAUUUGUUUAAAAAAAUUUCGGAUAAAAAAGAUUUCAUUUAUUUUUAUGUUAUCCU